CCUACGGGUGGCUGCAGUGAGGAAUAUUGGUCAAUGGACGAGAGUCUGAACCAGCCAAGUAGCGUGAAGGAUGACUGCCCUAUGGGUUGUAAACUUCUUUUGCCGGGGAGCAACGGGCGCCACGUGUGGCGCCACUGAGAGUACCCGGAGAAAAAGCAUCGGCUAACUCCGUGCCAGCAGCCGCGGUAAUACGGAGGAUGCGAGCGUUAUCCGGAUUUAUUGGGUUUAAAGGGUGCGUAGGCGGAGCGUUAAGUCAGUGGUCAAAUUGAGGGGCUCAACCCCUUCCCGCCAUUGAAACUGGCGCUCUUGAGUGGAAGAGAAGUAUGCGGAAUGCGUGGUGUAGCGGUGAAAUGCAUAGAUAUCACGCAGAACCCCGAUUGCGAAGGCAGCAUGCCGGCUUCCUACUGACGCUGAAGCACGAAAGCGUGGGGAUCGAACAGGAUUAGAUACCCCAGUAGUC
rnacentral:rRNA from 1 species